CGCGCAGGCGGCUGGGUGUGUCCGGUGUGAAAUCCCUCGGCUCAACCGAGGAACUGCGCCGGAAACUGCCUGGCUUGAGGGUCGGAGAGGUGAGUGGAACUCCAGGUGUAGCGGUGAAAUGCGUAGAUAUCUGGAGGAACGCCGGAGGCGAAAGCGACUCACUGGACGACUCCUGGCGCUGAGGCGCGAAAGCCAGGGGAGCGAACG
rnacentral:rRNA from 1 species